UCGAUCGGCUCGCCAGAUAUUUUCAAGUGAGCCUCAUCCUCUCCACUCUCUAUGGCCGAUCCAGUGAGCCUUAUCCCCCCCCCCUCUCUCUCUCUCUCUCUCUGAAACUGGAUUUCGCCGCCAUCAUCCUCCUCCUGCUGCUUUGCGUUGGCGCAUCAGAACUCUAUGUGUGCAUGUAUGUAUUCCAUUGAUCCAUCUGAACAUCUGAGACGUGACUGAACUUGAGUGCAAUCUUGUUGUUUAAUUACACAGAGAUGCGGGUGACUGGACGACCAGAUCUCACUGCUCAAGCAGAAGCUGUAGCUGAUCCACUAGAGCCACGCCUUCAAUGGCAAGCGGACCAAGAUGACACGUUCGUAGGGCCGCAAGUUUCAGGUCACCCUUGAGCAAGAAGCGACUAGGCUCCUUGGCAAUCUGGGAUGGGCACUGAUGUAAAAAGAGAACUACACAUACGUGUUCAUAUUUGUUUGUUAUUUUUUGCUUGUUGCCCUCUAUAUAUGUACAGAUGAUACAUAAAUUGUGUCUUAUUUUUAUUUGCUGGUUGCCCUCUGUAUAUGUAUAGAUAAUGUAUAAAUUGUAUAUGUUCUCUCCUCUGUAA